UCUUAUAUUGAAGGCCAAAAGGCAGCGCAUGAAGAACCACAUGGCUCGGAAAGAUAGUCAUCCUGCAAUCACGAGAGCGAGAGAGAGAGAGAGAGCGAGCACGAGAACCUCCCGGUACGAUUGCAACAUUUGAAGCCCGACAAUGAAAAUGUUUUGUCUGGCUUAUAUCAAUAUGAUUUUAAAUUCUAUUAUUUUCUUGGUUCACCCAUUGUAAAUAUGUUCUUCUAAUUAAGGUAUUGUAUUACAUAAAUAUAUUGUUGACAUAUAUUGUAGUGCAUAAAUAUAUUGUUGACAUCAGAGCAAUCGCAAUGCCAACAAUAUAUUUAUGCACUACACAGCACUGCUAAUCAAGACCACCAGCACGCAGACAAGCUAAGCAAGGCAACAUUUAGAAUGUAGAAUGCCAGAAAGAUUCACCCUGUACAAAAGAUACAUGAGUUCCACAUCCACCAGUUCCCAUCAACUGGUAGUAAUUUUGAGAUUUCACAACUGGCACACAACCGAUUCACCUAACGUACAGGCUUUGCAAGGUAAUUAACAUUUUACGCCUCUGAAAGUCCACUACCGCAAACUCACGAGAUAAUCAUUUAGCGAUUUAUUGGUUAACUUCAUGCCCUGUAACACAUGCAGAGGAGCAAGAACACGUUUCGGAUGCAGUCCUUGAGCUUGCUGUGAAGAUGCAGAUAAACAAAUAAUAUUCUAGCACGGGAUCAAGGUUCAAGACAUCUCAAGCUUGCAUCUGCUCAAAGGUCUCAUCUUACUGAUCAGGGUCCGGUUCUGUACAUAGGUGACCCUUUACGAUGAAGGUAAUUUCUCGGGAUUCGACAAUCACAAGUUGUGAGAAACCAAGACAAUGAAACCUAAGCUGUUGAGGAACGCACUCCGUGUCCUUCGAAGAGUAACGACAACCUGGUCAGCUUUCAUUCCACAAUUUACCGCCGAGGUCACACCGCAAGACCGGCAGACUUCACGUCUGUCAAUACUCCAGCUAACUGACGAGCGAGAAAUAGACAGUUUUACUAAAAGCCAUUACACAUCUGCCCAUCUGCCCAUCUAUCCCUUCUUACAU
rnacentral:lncRNA from 1 species